GCGGAUGUGGCGGAAUCGGCAGACGCACCAGACUUAGAAUCUGGCGAGCAAUCGUGGGGGUUCAAAUCCCUUCAUCCGCACCA
rnacentral:tRNA from 1 species